rnacentral:rRNA from 1 species
UGGGGAAUCGUUCCGCAAUGGACGAAAGUCUGACGGAGCAACGCCGCGUGAGUGAAGAAGGUUUUCGGAUCGUAAAACUCUGUCUUUUGGGGCGAACGUGAGUAUGGUGAACAAUCAUAGUCAGUGACGGUACCAAAGGAGGAAGCCACGGCUAACUACGUGCCAGCAGCCGCGGUAAUACGUAGGUGGCAAGCGUUGUCCGGAAUUAUUGGGCGUAAAGAGCGCGUAGGCGGGAUAGUCAGUCUGUUGUAAAGUGCGGGGCUCAACCCCGUGAUGGCAAUGGAACAGCUAUUCUUGAGUGCAGGAGAGGAAAGUGGAAUUCCCAGUGUAGCGGUGAAAUGCGUAGAUAUUGGGAGGAACACCAGUGGCGAAGGCGACUUUCUGGACUGUGUCUGACGCUGAGGCGCGAAAGCCAGGGGAGGCGAACGGGAUUAGAUACCCCGGUAGUCCUGGCCGUAAACGAUGGGUACUAGGUGUGGGAGGUAUCGACCCCUUCCGUGCCGGAGUUAACGCAAUAAGUACCCCGCCUGGGGAGUACGGUCGCAAGACUGAAACUCAAAUGAAUUGAC